AUGGCCAUGUCCGUGGGCAAGCAAUGGACGCGGGUGCGCACGCUCGGCCGCGGCGCCUCGGGGGCCGAGGUCUUCCUCGCCGCGGACGACGUCUCCGGGGAGCUCUUCGCGGUCAAGUCCGCCGCGGGGGCGACCUGUGCGGCGGCGCUGAGGAGGGAGCAGUGCGUGAUGGCCGGCCUGCGAUCACAGCGCGUCGUCUCCUGCAUCGGCGGCCGCGGCGCCCGCGACGGCUCCUACCACCUCUUCCUCGAGUUCGCCCCCGGCGGCUCGCUGGCGGACCAUCUGGAAAGCGGGCUUGACGAGCGUGCCGUCUGCGGCUACGCGGCCGACGUGGCGGCCGGGCUCGCGUACCUCCAUGGCGCCGGGAUGGUGCACGGGGACGUCAAGGCGAGGAACGUCGUGAUCGGCGCCGACGGCCGCGCCAAGCUCGCCGAUUUCGGGUGCUCGAGGAAGGCGGGCGCUGACGUGCCAAUCAUCGGCGGCACGCCGGCGUUCAUGGCACCGGAGGUGGCGCGCGGCGAGGAGCAGGGCCCCGCGGCCGACGUCUGGGCGCUCGGCUGCAUGGUUGUCGAGAUGGCCACUGGACGCGCGCCCUGGAGCGGCAUGGACGGCGACGCGCUCGGGGCGCUGCACCGGAUCGGCUACACGGAGGCCGUGCCCGAGGUUCCGAAAUGGCUGUCCGCCGACGCCAAGGACUUCUUGGCCAGAUGCCUUGUCAGGCAAGCCAGCGAUCGGUGCACGUCGGCGCAGCUGCUGGAGCACCCGUUCUUGGCUUCCGCCGACGUCGAGGCGAAGCCGGAAGCCGUCGAGAGCAAAAGCAAAUGGGUGUCGCCGAAGAGCACGCUGGACGCGGCAUUCUGGGAGUCGGAGUCCGACGCCGACGAGGCGGAGCACGACAGCACGGCAGAGAUGAGGAUCAUGGCAUUGGCUUGCUCCGCGUCGGCGCUCCCGGACUGGGACUCUGACGAGGGAUGGAUCGAUGUGCUCUCCGCGCCAAUCGAAGCACCAGACGCAGUGACCGAGGAGAGGAUCGACCUGGACGACGACGCUAUCACAACUGAAGAACCCAGCGGCGCAGGGUCCGGGGUUCUCGCCCUUAUUACCGUGGACGUGGAGUGCAUCGACGAUGGCGGCGCCGUCGUCGGAGCGGGAGCGGGAGAUGCAUAUGAUGAUGAUUCACUCGGGCACAGUAGUAGGCAUCGGUCUUUGAAUGCUGUAGCUUCUCACCAGUUAGUACCAUGUAAAUUGUUGCUCUGCAACAGAAAGACAAAUGCAACUGAUUUCGUUCUUGCACGAGCACUCAGUUUCAUACCGAUCUCUGUUUCUCCGCUCAUGCUUUGCUUCCUCUCCCCCGAUCGCGACACGUUGGAUUAG
rnacentral:rRNA from 1 species